AUGGAGAGCAGCCGACUUGGUGUGUGUGGGAUGGAGCGUGGGAGGAAAAAGAGAAGAGGGUGGGUUCUUUGUAACACACUUCCUGGUCCUUCCUGUUCAGGAAUUGAUGUGGAGACGGAAGCAGUGGACCGGAAGGGCCUGGACUUGCCGGGCCACCAGCUGGACCUCCUGCAGGAUGUUGUGGCCUGGGCGGCCGGCCGGCCCGUGAUUCUACUGCUGUUCAACGCAGGCCCCCUCGAUGUCAGUUGGGCCAAAGCUCACGACGGGGUGGGAGCCAUCUUGGCCUGUUUCUUUCCUGCUCAAGCCACCGGCCUGGCGAUUGCCAAGGUCUUGGUGGGAGAGGAAGGAGCCAACCCGGCCGGCCGGCUCCCUGCCACAUGGCCGGCAGGGAUGCACCAGGUCCCCCCAAUGGAGAACUACACCAUGGCUGGACGGACGUACCGCUACUAUGGAGACGAUCCUCCGCUGUACCCCUUUGGCUACGGGCUCUCCUACACCCUUUUCCGAUACAGCGACCUGGCGCUGGGAGCCGAGGUGGUGCCCGUUUGUGGGAACCUCAGCCUCUCGGUGGUGGUGGAGAACGUUGGCCCCCGAGACGGCGAGGAGGUGGUGCAGCUCUACCUCCGGUGGGGAGAGGCCUCCGUGCCCGUGCCCCGCUGGCAGCUGGUCGGCUUCCGUCGGGUGAUGGUACCCCAAGGCCAGGCGACCAAGGUGCCCUUCCUGCUCUCCUUCCGCCAGAGAGCCGUCUGGGCCGGGGAGUGGCGCCUGGAGCCCGGCUCUUUCACCCUGUUUGCCGGCGGGCAGCAGCCCUUCCAGCAAACCCGUGCCCCUUCCAACGUCCUGCGAGCAGAUUUCAGCGUCCUCGGAAGCGCCCUCAAGAGAAGCCAGUGCUAAUGAAGAGGACUCCAGGAGAGCACAGCAAACUGCUGGGCCAAGGGAGAUCUUGAGAAUUAACUUCUGCCUUAAGCAAAACCUGAUCAGUAAACCCUGUGCACCAUUGGAAAGCUUGUGAAUUGUGCGAGAGUUUCAUCUUCCCCUGAACACUCAUCACCCUUGGUUUUGUCAACUGCAGUGGCUGGAACUGAUUGCGGUGGAAAUGUGAUAAGACAGGCAAAGAAGCUUCUAGGGAGAAAUAAAGAUUGUCCUCCUUUAAAAAAAAGGAACCA
ensembl:lncRNA